GUAGGGCGGGACACGUGGUAUCCUGUCUGAAUAUGGGGGGACCAUCCUCCAAGGCUAAAUACUCCUGACUGACCGAUAGUGAACCAGUACCGUGAGGGAAAGGCGAAAAGAACCCCGGCGAGGGGAGUGAAAAAGAACCUGAAACCGUGUACGUACAAGCAGUGGGAGCACAGAGCAAUCUGUGUGACUGCGUACCUUUUGUAUAAUGGGUCAGCGACUUAUAUUCUGUAGCAAGGUUAACCGAAUAGGGGAGCCGAAGGGAAACCGAGUCUUAACUGGGCGUUAAGUUGCAGGGUAUAGACCCGAAACCCGGUGAUCUAGCCAUGGGCAGGUUGAAGGUUGGGUAACACUAACUGGAGGACCGAACCGACUAAUGUUGAAAAAUUAGCGGAUGACUUGUGGCUGGGGGUGAAAGGCCAAUCAAACCGGGAGAUAGCUGGUUCUCCCCGAAAGCUAUUUAGGUAGCGCCUCGUGAAUUCAUCUCCGGGGGUAGAGCACUGUUUCGGCAAGGGGGUCAUCCCGACUUACCAACCCGAUGCAAACUGCGAAUACCGGAGAAUGUUAUCACGGGAGACACACGGCGGGUGCUAACGUCCGUCGUGAAGAGGGAAACAACCCAGACCGCCAGCUAAGGUCCCAAAGUCAUGGUUAAGUGGGAAACGAUGUGGGAAGGCCCAGACAGCCAGGAUGUUGGCUUAGAAGCAGCCAUCAUUUAAAGAAAGCGUAAUAGCUCACUGGUCGAGUCGGCCUGCGCGGAAGAUGUAACGGGGCUAAACCAUGCACCGAAGCUGCGGCAGCGACGCUUAUGCGUUGUUGGGUAGGGGAGCGUUCUGUAAGCCUGCGAAGGUGUGCUGUGAGGCAUGCUGGAGGUAUCAGAAGUGCGAAUGCUGACAUAAGUAACGAUAAAGCGGGUGAAAAGCCCGCUCGCCGGAAGACCAAGGGUUCCUGUCCAACGUUAAUCGGGGCAGGGUGAGUCGACCCCUAAGGCGAGGCCGAAAGGCGUAGUCGAUGGGAAACAGGUUAAUAUUCCUGUACUUGGUGUUACUGCGAAGGGGGGACGGAGAAGGCUAUGUUGGCCGGGCGACGGUUGUCCCGGUUUAAGCGUGUAGGCUGGUUUUCCAGGCAAAUCCGGAAAAUCAAGGCUGAGGCGUGAUGACGAGGCACUACGGUGCUGAAGCAACAAAUGCCCUGCUUCCAGGAAAAGCCUCUAAGCAUCAGGUAACAUCAAAUCGUACCCCAAACCGACACAGGUGGUCAGGUAGAGAAUACCAAGGCGCUUGAGAGAACUCGGGUGAAGGAACUAGGCAAAAUGGUGCCGUAACUUCGGGAGAAGGCACGCUGAUAUGUAGGUGAAGCGACUUGCUCGUGGAGCUGAAAUCAGUCGAAGAUACCAGCUGGCUGCAACUGUUUAUUAAAAACACAGCACUGUGCAAACACGAAAGUGGACGUAUACGGUGUGACGCCUGCCCGGUGCCGGAAGGUUAAUUGAUGGGGUCAGCGCAAGCGAAGCUCUUGAUCGAAGCCCCGGUAAACGGCGGCCGUAACUAUAACGGUCCUAAGGUAGCGAAAUUCCUUGUCGGGUAAGUUCCGACCUGCACGAAUGGCGUAAUGAUGGCCAGGCUGUCUCCACCCGAGACUCAGUGAAAUUGAACUCGCUGUGAAGAUGCAGUGUACCCGCGGCAAGACGGAAAGACCCCGUGAACCUUUACUAUAGCUUGACACUGAACAUUGAGCCUUGAUGUGUAGGAUAGGUGGGAGGCUUUGAAGUGUGGACGCCAGUCUGCAUGGAGCCGACCUUGAAAUACCACCCUUUAAUGUUUGAUGUUCUAACGUGGACCCGUAAUCCGGGUUGCGGACAGUGUCUGGUGGGUAGUUUGACUGGGGCGGUCUCCUCCUAAAGAGUAACGGAGGAGCACGAAGGUUGGCUAAUCCUGGUCGGACAUCAGGAGGUUAGUGCAAUGGCAUAAGCCAGCUUGACUGCGAGCGUGACGGCGCGAGCAGGUGCGAAAGCAGGUCAUAGUGAUCCGGUGGUUCUGAAUGGAAGGGCCAUCGCUCAACGGAUAAAAGGUACUCCGGGGAUAACAGGCUGAUACCGCCCAAGAGUUCAUAUCGACGGCGGUGUUUGGCACCUCGAUGUCGGCUCAUCACAUCCUGGGGCUGAAGUAGGUCCCAAGGGUAUGGCUGUUCGCCAUUUAAAGUGGUACGCGAGCUGGGUUUAGAACGUCGUGAGACAGUUCGGUCCCUAUCUGCCGUGGGCGCUGGAGAACUGAGGGGGGCUGCUCCUAGUACGAGAGGACCGGAGUGGACGCAUCACUGGUGUUCGGGUUGUCAUGCCAAUGGCACUGCCCGGUAGCUAAAUGCGGAAGAGAUAAGUGCUGAAAGCAUCUAAGCACGAAACUUGCCCCGAGAUGAGUUCUCCCUGACUCCUUGAGAGUCCUGAAGGAACGUUGAAGACGACGACGUUGAUAGGCCGGGUGUGUAAGCGCAGCGAUGCGUUGAGCUAACCGGUACUAAUGAACCGUGAGGCUUAACCUUACAACGCCGAAGCUGUU
rnacentral:rRNA from 1 species